rnacentral:lncRNA from 1 species
AUAAGAAUUGGGGGAAAAUCCUAUAAAAGUUUGGGGGUGAUCCUAUAAAAAUUGGGGAAAAAUCCUAUAAAAUAUUGGGGAAACCCUAAAAAAGUUUUUGGGAAAAUUCUGUAAAAAUUGGGGGAUGAUUCUAUAAAGUUUGGGGGAAAUCCUAUAAAAGUUUGGGGAAGAUCCUAUAAAAAUUGGGAGAAAAUCCCAAAAAGGUUUGGCAGAAAUCCUAUAAAAAUUGGGGGAAAAUCCUAUAAAUUUUUGGGGGUGAUCCUACAAAUAUUGGGGGACAAUCCUAUAAAGGUUUGGGGGCGAUCCUACAAAAUUUGGGGGAAGGAACUGGGAAGUUUGGGGGGAUCCUAUAAAGGUUUGGGGGCAGGAGCUGCUCAGGGGGCUGCAGGACGACGGGACCCUGCUGCCCCUCCCCAAGUACGAGAACUGGUGAGUUUGGGGGCCGAAAAUUUGGGGGAAAAACGAGGGAAUUUGGGAAAGAUGGCACAGGAAGGUUUGGGAGCGAUCCGAUGAAGUUUGGGUGAGAUAUGGUGAAAUUUGGGCGAAAAUCCUAUAAAAUAUGGGGGAAACCCUAUAAAAAGUUUGGGGAUGAUGCUAUAAAAAUUGGGAGAAAAUCCUAUAAAGUUUGGGGAAGAUCCUAUAAAGUUUGGGGAAAAUGCUAUAAAUUUCAGGGGAAGAUCCUAUAAAAAUUCGGGGGCAAUCCUAUAAAGUUUGGGGGAAAUCUUAUAAAAGUUUGGGAGAAAUCCUAUAAAGUUUUUUGGGGAAAUACCAUAAAAGUUUGGGGGCGAUCCUAUAAGAGUUGGAGGAAAAAAACUAUAAAAAUUGGGGGAAGAUCCUAUAAAGGUUUGGCAAAAAUCCUAUAAAAUAUUGGGGAAAACCUAUGAAAGUUUUGGGGAAAAUUCUAUAAAAAUUGGGGGAAGAUCCUAUAAAAUAUUGGGGAAACCCUAUAAAAGUUUUGGGG